CUGCAUUAUUAGCUGAUGACCAGUACCUUGUGCCAAUUAACCAAGAUAUAUUACAAAACUGUUAUGCAGUGUCCAACUAUCAACUAUACAAAUCCUUGGAAUAAACUUAACAAAUGACUGCCACUAUAAACUUUAUACAUUGUUUUUUUUUUUAUAAAUAACAGAAUUUUUUUAUUGUGAUGUGACAUGUGUGUUAGACUAUUGUUAGAAUUUGCCCAAAACACUUUUUAAGAAAUACUUUCUGCGCAUUUCAAACUGUUAUUAUGCGCAUUAAUUAAGAACAGUUUGUUAUUUCUUUAUUUAUUUUUAGUAGUUGUGUUAUACAUGUAUUGACAUGGUCUAAAACUUUAAAGCAUUUAAUAUUUCUUGUGUUUUGAGUUUUGUCAAUGGUCACAUUUUGGACAUAGCAUAUUUACUUUAAGUUAUACUGUUCACACAUAAAUUUGUAGUUUACAUGUACAUGUAGGUGGAAUAAUUUAAGUGCUCCUUGCAAAUACCUAUUAUUAAGUUGUGCUUAUCUUAUUUAAAAAUAAAUAAAUACACAUGUGCUUACAUAAAGUGUUUCAGUAUUUAUUCGAGUGUGGUUUAUAGACUAGUGGUAAAAAAAGUCUGUUUAUAGAUAUAAAAAGAUGUGGUAUGAGUGCCAAUGAUACAACUAUCCCUUCAUUUUUUUUUAUAAUAAGCCAUCACAACAAGCUAUGAGUAAGUUAUAUGACUAUGAUUAAGGCCAUAACGGGACCCAACAAUUACUUGCGUAGAAUCAUUCAACAUAGAAGUCGCAUUAUUGCCAUCGGUACUGUCAUGACCGUCCAAUAUCUCCGUUUUUUUAAUUUUUCUGGAACAAUUUUCCGUGAAACUCAUUUGAAAACCCUCUGUUCAUCAUUCAAUACUACCGUAUGUUGCGUAACAAUAAAUAUGUUUCUUCCUGCGCAACGAUUACUAACGUUUUAAAGUAUAUUCACGAUAUCCGUUGUGUAUUUAUCCCGUUUGUUUAUCUGCAAUGACCUUUCGACCUAAGUGGGUGAUCUCCCUUGAAUUUUUUCGCACCUGCGCAUUACAGAACUCCGAACUCGCUUAUU
rnacentral:lncRNA from 1 species